UUUUUAGUUUUAAUAUUUUAUUUAUAAAAAUUUUAAUAAUAUUUUUUUAGUAUUUAUUAAAAAAAAUUUUAUAUAGUUUAUGAAAAUUAUUAAAAUAAAAAGUUUAUAAUAAUUAAUUAGUACCUUUUGUAUCAGGGUAAAUUAAUUAAAAUUUAUUUUUAUAAAAUUCCCGAAAAUAAGAUAUUUAUAUAUAAUUAAUAUUUUAUUGUUGCAAUAAUAUUUACAAAUUUUAUAUAGUAGAAAAAUUCUAAUCGUUCUUUUUUAUAUCUGGUUAUUUAGGAAUUCAAUUUAAUUGAUGAUUAAAGAUAAAUUAUUAAUUUUAAUAUAAAAAUUAAUCAUAUAUAAUUUGGGAUAAUCUAUUUUAUUUUUUAAAAUUUUAUUAAUUAAAUAUUUAUUUAUUUUAAAAUCUUUUAUUAUAGUUCUUAAUAGAUUUUUAUUAUUUAUUUUAAUUUUAUUAAAUUUAUAUUUUUACUAAGUUAAUUAAGUAAAUUUUAAUUUUUAUUAAAUAAUGAUUUAAUUAGUAUAAUAUAAAUUUAAUUUAUAAAUAACUCGACAAAAACAAUCUUCAGCUGUUUAUCAAAAACAUUUCUUUUAGAUUAAAAAUUAAAAGUAAAUUCUGCCCUAUGAUAAAAAUUAAAUGGCUGCAGUAUUUUGACUGUGCAAAGGUAGCAUAAUCAUUAGUCAUUUAAUUGUUGACUUGUAUGAAUGGAUAAAUGAGAGAUUAAUUUUUUUUAUUUUAUUAUUAAAAUUUAAUUUUUAGGUAAAAAAGCUUUAAUUAUUUUUUUGGGACGAUAAGACCCUAUAGAACUUUAUUAUAUGUUUAAUUAUACAAUUUUAUAGUUAAAAUUAUUUGUUAAUUAUUAUUAUUUUUUUGUUGGGGUGAUGAAUAAAUAUUUAACUUUAUUUUUUUGUAUCAUUAAUUUAUGAUUAUUUUUGAUCCUAAAUUUUAGAUUAAAAGAUUAAGUUACCUUAGGGAUAACAGCGUAAUUUUAAUGGGGAGUUCAUAUUUAUAUUAAAGUUUGCGACCUCGAUGUUGAAUUAAGAUAAGUUUGAGGGGUAGAUUUUUCAUUACUAAGUCUGUUCGACUUUUAAAUUCUUACAUGAUUUGAGUUCAAACCGGUGUAAGCCAGGUUGGUUUCUAUCUAAAAAUUAUAUCUAUUAUUUAGUACGAAAGGACCAAUAAUAGCAAUAAUUAUUUGUCAAAAUUGAAUUUUAAU
rnacentral:rRNA from 1 species